rnacentral:rRNA from 1 species
GUGGGGAAUAUUGGACAAUGGGGGAAACCCUGAUCCAGCGACGCCGCGUGAGUGAAGAAGUAUUUCGGUAUGUAAAGCUCUAUCAGCAGGGAAGAAAAUGACGGUACCUGACUAAGAAGCCCCGGCUAACUACGUGCCAGCAGCCGCGGUAAUACGUAGGGGGCAAGCGUUAUCCGGAUUUACUGGGUGUAAAGGGAGCGUAGACGGUAUGGUAAGUCAGAUGUGAAAGCCCGGGGCUCAACCCCGGGACUGCAUUUGAAACUAUCAGACUAGAGUGCAGGAGAGGUAAGUGGAAUUCCUAGUGUAGCGGUGAAAUGCGUAGAUAUUAGGAGGAACACCAGUGGCGAAGGCGGCUUACUGGACUGUAACUGACGUUGAGGCUCGAAAGCGUGGGGAGCAAACAGGAUUAGAUACCCCUGUAGUCC